GACGAACGCUGGCGGCGUGCCUAAUACAUGCAAGUCGAGCGGAAAUUUUAUUGGUGCUUGCACCUUUAAAAUUUUAGCGGCGGGCGGGUGAGUAACACGUGGGUAACCUACCUUAUAGAUCGGGAUAACUCCGGGAAACCGGGGCUAAUACCGAAUAAUACUUUUUAACACAUGUUUAAAAGUCGAAAGACGGUCUUGCUGUCACUAUAAUAUGGACCCGCGGCGCAUUAGCUAGUUGGUGAGGUAACGGCUCACCAAGGCAACGAUGCGUAGCCGACCUGAGAGGGUGAUCGGCCACACUGGGACUGAGACACGGCCCAGACUCCUACGGGAGGCAGCAGUAGGGAAUCUUCCACAAUGGACGAAAGUCUGAUGGAGCAACGCCGCGUGAGUGAAGAAGGAUUUCGGUUCGUAAAACUCUGUUGCAAGGGAAGAACAAGUAGCGUAGUAACUGGCGUUACCUUGACGGUACCUUGUUAGAAAGCCACGGCUAACUACGUGCCAGCCGCCGCAGUAAUAC
rnacentral:rRNA from 1 species